rnacentral:rRNA from 1 species
UACGUAGGGUGCAGGCGUUAAUCGGAAUUACUGGGCGUAAAGGGCGCGUAGGCGGCCGCCUAAGUCAGACGUGAAAUCCCUCGGCUCAACCGGGGAACUGCGUCUGAUACUGGGUGGCUUGAAUCCGGGAGAGGGAUGCGGAAUUCCAGGUGUAGCGGUGAAAUGCGUAGAUAUCUGGAGGAACACCGGUGGCGAAGGCGGCAUCCUGGACCAAUACUGACGCUCAGGUGCGAAAGCGUGGGGAGCAAACAGG